CAGUUGCCGGCUCAGCCGCCCCUCUUCCUGCAGCUGCUGGAGGUAGCCUGAGUAGAGGAAAGCCAGGGUGGCAGCACAGGAAGGCUCCACCAGCAUGCGCUCGUCAUCUGGAAAGGGAUGAGAAAUAAGGGAGUACUGUGCCGAAAUCCCAAGGGAGCAGAAAAGACUACAGUGGUACCUCGACUUCCAAAUGCCUCGACUUACGAAGGUUUCGACUUACGAAGUCAGCAAACCCGGAAGUAUUUUCGCCACGCGUGUGUUCUACGCCUGUGCAGAAGCGGCAUGCUCUGUCUGCGCAGGCGCAAAGCACAAAAUCGCACUUUGCGCUUGCGCAAAAUGGACGCUUCAACAUCCAAAGGUUUCAACUUACGAAGAGCGCCACGGAACGGAUCACCUUCGUAAGUCCAGGUACCACUGUAUUUUUGUCUGCAACCACAGCUGUGUGGUUGGCCCAGAGAUGGGAAAAAAGAUAAAGUCCCAACCAGAGAAGAAUGGCAGAUCAAGUUGCUGAAUUAUGCCAAAAUGGCUAAAAUGACCGGAAAAAUCAGAAACCAGGAAGACCAAAAUUUUAAUAAGGAAUGGGGGAAAUGUAUAAUUUAUCUUAAAAACCAUCGCAAACAGUUAAAAUUGUUAGUAGGAUCGGAAUGACACUUGUAGUUUAAUGGUGAAUUUUGGACACAAUAGAGAGGUAAAAGAUUUGGAUUAUCAUAAAAGAUGCAGGAGGAAAUGAUUAACAAUAGGACUCACAAAGGGGAGGAGGGAAGUCCAGGAGAUUCCAUGGAAUCUUGUUUUUAUGUUGCAUGUUGAAUAUGUGACUGUAAAAUUUUAAUCUGAAAAACCAAAUAAAUAGCAGCAACUCCUGACCAGUUGCACUGAUCCCAAAUCCCAGGAGGAUCUAUUAGUUGGUUUUAUUUAUUGUUAUAUCCACUCAUUCUGUUCUGAAUAAUGCCUUUUUGUAGGGAAAGGUUGGGGGAACUGGGGAUGAGUUUAUGAAAGCAAAGGGACAGUGGCCUGAAAAGGUUUGGGAAGCUAUGAGUUAUCUCUCUGAUCUCUACUGACAGAUUCUCUGAUGCAGUAUAAAAACGAGAGCUCCUACAAGCCACUAGAGGGAGCUGUCUGCCUAUCAGUUGCCUGCCUUCACCACAGCUCUAUGCUUCCAGUGUUUCAGGGUUAACAUUGCAUUAAAUGUGGAGCAUGCAAGUGUGGUCAGUGAUUUAAAAAUAAAAUAAAGUUAAUAUUAAUUGUUCGGGGUGGCAAUUUUCAUCAGAACCACAGGGGGAUAUCACUGUUUGCCACACCUUUGAAAACUCACCCAGGAACUGCUCAAUGGCUUUCACCGCUUCCACAUCAUCUAGCACAUGAGAGAUGAUGCAACACUCGCGGGCACAAUCCAGAGCCCUCUGUGCCACUGUCUUGGCUCCCAGGCACAUGGCCACACUGCAGAAUCGACAGUAAAUAGCAAGACCUACAGGUAUGAGUGGCAUACAAAUCAUCGCCAUCACCACCAUCGUCAUCAUCGCCUGUGAGGUGACAGACCAGCUCCACUGGGACUCCAAUCCCCAUCAGGCUGCCUCAGUGGGAGAGGUGGGAAGUGGGGCUCAUCCUAUCAGCUUCACCAAAAAACCAGCUGCAUCAGGUAGCUCCUGCCCCUGAACUGCACCAGUUGCUCAUUAUAACAGGGAUCAGCAAACUUUUUACAGCAGGGGGCCGGUCCCCUGUCCCUCAUACCUUGUGGGAGGCAGGACUAUAUUUUGAAAAAUAAUAAUGAACAAAUUCCUAUGCCCCACAAAUAACCCAGCGAUGCAUUUUAAAUAAAAGGACACAUUCUACUCAUGUAAAAACACGCUGAUUCUCAGACCAGAUUAAGAAGGCGAUUGGGCCGGAUCCAGCCCCCGGGCCUUAGUUUGCCUACCCAUGCAUUAUAACAACUGUUCAAGAAUUGUUGCCCAAGUUUGAUUCCAGCCCCCUCUCCACACAGCCUGCCCCCCUUCCCCUUGUGUGACGUGGGUUGUUGUUGUUUUAAUUGUAAGCUUGUGGGCAGAGAGAGCUGUCUCCUUUUAACUGAUUGUCAUAUAGCUCAGUUGGUAGAGCACAAGACUCUUAAACUUGGGAUCAUGGGUUCGAGCCCCACGUUGGGCAAAAGAUUCCUGCAUUGCAGGGGUUGGACUAGAUGACCCAUGUGCUCCCUUCCAACGUUACAGCUCUGUGAUUCUACAUUCUGGGAGACUUUUUGGCUGAAAAGUUGGGUAUGAAUGCUACAAACAAACAAACAAACAAACAAACAACCCUUUUCAGGAUGGAACUCUAGACCAGCGUUUCUCAACUGCUGUUCCGCGGCACACUACUGUGCCGCGAGACGCUGGCUGGUGUGCCGUGACGUGCGGCUUGUUUCCCGGGGAACGGCAAACCCUCACCAGCCAGAAGCCUCGGCUCAAGGCUCGCGAGAGCGCAAACCUGGCUGACGAGAGAAAGCUCCACUUCUGCCACCCCCGCACACCGUUGAGGGAAAGGGAGCCAGAGAAAGGACUACAGUUCCCAGGGGCUCCUUUCGGGCAACUGUUCUCGCCGCUUGCUCUCGCGAGAUGGCCCGGCGCCACUCUGUUCCCCAACCCCACCUCUCGCAAGUUCGCGCUCGCUUGCUGCGCGGUGGUUGAAUGUGGGGCGGUGGCGGCGAUGGCAGCGCGCUCCGCUGCCUCGUCGUCUCCUCCGACGGAGCUGUCCUUGUCGCCGUUCGUCCGGAAGCUCCGUAAGUGGUGGAUCCUCCGAAGCCCCUCUCCCUUUCAGGCUAGCGGAGACGAGCACGCUGGAGCCGCAGCCGCUGCUUCUAGGGGCGCCGGAAUGAGCGGCAGAGGGGAACUUUCUUCCAGGUGUGCCUCGUGAUUUUUUUCAUGUAACAAGUGUGCCUUGGCCCAAAAAAGGUUGAGAAACACUGCUCUAGACAGUAUAACAAGAGUUACCAGGAGGUCUCCAUUGAGGCACUGAAGAGACCGAGAUCCUGCUUUGCUUCAGUAAGGCAACUUAUUGGAACCAGCCUACCUUUUGUACCACAGCUAAAAAAAUAGGAGGAGGUAGAAGAGGGAGAUUAGUUUUGAUAGCUUAGUUGGUUAGAGCAUGGUGCUAAGAAUGCCAAGGUUGCAGGUUUGAUCCCUGUACGGGACAGCUGCAUAUUCCUGCAUUGCAGGGGGCUAGACUAGGUGAACAUCAGGGCCCCUUCCAACUCUCUGAAGUGAGAUGAGGAAGUCCCUUUAAUGGCAAACUUAGGUGGGGAGUGCUAACAGGUGAACCCAAAACAGGGACCCUGGGGAACAAGAAGGAAGCAUCAGCAUGCUCAGGAUAACCCUGAAGAUUUCAGGGUCCAAACUUUUUUUUUAAGGGAGGAGAAGAAAGAAGGAGAACAUUUUGUCUCAAGAUCAAUGCUCUUUCCUUCAAACUGGGGUUGCUGCCAUCUCCAGUGCACACUACUCACCUGGUUA